rnacentral:lncRNA from 1 species
GUGGCGCAUAAGCAUUCAGGGAGACAAGGCACUUAGCACAGUUAGUGACAAACUGGGAGCACUCCACAAAUACCAACAAAUUACACAGACUGUGUGUGUGUGUGUGUGUGUGUAGUGUGGGUGUGUGGUGUUUUGUGGUGUUGUGUGGUGUGCGUAGUGUGUGUAGUAUGUGUGUAGUCUGUGUAGUGUGUGUGGUGUGUGUAUUGUGUGUGAGUAGUGUGUGUGUGGUGUGUGUAGUAUGUGUAGUAUAUGUGGUGUGUGUGUAGUGUAUGUGUGUGGUGUGUGUAGUAUAUGUGGUGUGUGUGUGGUGUAUGUGUAGUGUGUGUGGUGUAUGUGUAGUGUGUGUGGUGUGUGUAUAGUGUGUAUAGUGUGUAUAGUGUGUGCAUGGUGUGUAUGUGUGUGUGUGUGUGUGUAGUAUGUGUGUGUAUAUGUGGUGUGUGUGUAUAUGUGGUGUGUGUGUAUGUGUGGUGUGUGUGUGUAUGCAGUGUGUGUGUAGUGUGUAUGUGUAGUAUGUGGUGUGUGUGUGUGUGUGUGUAUAGUGUGUGUGUGUGCAGUUUGAUUGAGGGUCGGAGCCACACCUUGUCUGACUCCCGUCCACUCUGUAUUCUGUCCCCUGUUGAAAGAUCAAGUAGAAAAUCGCAGACAGAGAGUAAGAACAGGCCUGCGGUCUGCCCGAGGAAGGAGGCUGGAAUAGGGAGGCUGGCGAAGUGAUGGGAACUUUCGAUAAGGCAGAUGGCAGCGGGAACUGCAGACCAGGUGCCCCAGGGACCAGGCUCGCCAGCCAGCUCCCGGCAGCUCCCGGGUGGGAGGGCCCGAAGAGGGUGGCUCUAGGCAGCGUGUGGGGGCCGGGUGCUGCAGGUCCCCCUGGG